AAAAAAAACAAAGAAAAACCUAACCCUACGUCCGUCUCUUCUUAAAAACUUUCUCUCCCUAUUUUUUGUUUGGAUCUCUUACUUUCUCAUUGACGUCCUUUCUCUUAAGACUAUUCGUUCAUCCUAAACCUUCCCUCUGCCAUUCUUCUGCAACAAACCAUGGAUGUUCAUCAUCAAAUAACAGACUUCAAUACGGAUGUCACAAGGCUUUUUCCGCCUGCUAACCAAGGUUUUCGAGUAUUUUACUUUUCUUCUUCGCUGAAAAACGGCUGCCGUAGUUUCCACCAUGACGGUUUUCGCUUUCCAACGAUUUUCAUUGACAAGGUUCGGUACAAAACCCUAACCCUAUUUUCCAUUUCUCUAAUUUCUUUUUCUUUGGUUUUCUCUACAUUCAUGAUAUUUGAUUUUCAGGGAUGAAUUUUUACAGUUUAUGUCCAAAUUAUGAUUUUUAGUGUUUAGGUUUUGAAGAAGUAAGGCACAUCAGGUAUGAUUUUUAAUUGCAUGUUCUUAGUUUUACUGAACACGCUCUGUUUUUUAUUUUGUGAGUGAAGGUUUACUUAUUUUUUGAAUUCUUAAGUAUGGGUUUGUUUAAUUUUGAGUCAUCCCAUCUCGGCUCAAACAGCGGAGAUUAAUGUUGAUUGACAUAAAAAAAAAUCUUAUGGAGACCAAGCUAAUAGGAAGCAAGUUAUUAUGUCUUUUUUUCAUUACCUAAGCCGAAGUGUAUCCAACAUUGGGUUGCAAUAUGAUAUGAGGAAGUUUGUUAUCUGUUUUCAGCUUUAAUGUCCUUCUUCCACAAAGGACAUCCAUUGACGUUGGUAGUUUUUGACCUUUUAGUAGUCCUAUAUAAAAUUUGCUAUAUAGCUACGUUGUUGUGUCUUUUUUUUUUAUAUAUAUAGAUUACUCGCUUACAUUUACGGUUUCUAUUCUUAUAUAUAGGUACCACCUACUAUGUGCAAGAAGCACAGUUCUUCUCAAGGAGCGUGUAUCCAUGGUUUCCAAGGCAAGCACUAAUACGCACGACAUCGUCGUAGUUUUCUUGGUCUGACGAUAAUUAUAACGAUGAAGGUAGUAAAUUAAAUUUUCGGAGGCAUGUCCACAUUUGUUUUAAGUGUUUGUGGUCGGUGUAUUUCUUCUGCAGGUAUUGUGUUGUUCAUGAUUUUUAUCGGCUAAUCUCUAUUGGCUUAUAUUAUGCUCAUUUGCCGAAGUGUUCUGUUGGCUACCGUGGUGGGCAUUUUUGUUUCUCAUUGUUUUCCCCGAUUAGGAAUAGGGAAGUAUAGGGAUGUCAGAUGUAAAUUGCGAUGGUCGAGGAGGUACUUUUGUUUCUUAUCGUUUUAUUGUGGCAUGAUCCUGUUUGGAUUUUUUCGAUUAAAAUUCAUUGUGUUUUCCAGUUUUCCAUGUAGUAGGAAGAAGUAUGCGAGGAGAGUUCCCAUCGUACAUCAAAAUUGGUUUAUUCUGGACAUCUUUUUCUCCCUUUUGUUUUUUUUACACAUUGUUGUUGGCUUUUAUAGGAAAGUUGGAUUAUAAGAUGACACCGAAUAACAAGUUGCCUUCAGAAGCUUGGUGAAGCAAUAGAUAUGAACACAAUAUGGACACGUUAAAUAUAAAGAUAACCUGGAGGUUAUCAUGCAUAAGGUUAGAUUCCAGGAGGCUGCAUCCAUGACAGAGAAUAUUAUAGGCAUGGUCAUAAAUAUCCAAUUGCAAAGAAGCGGCUAAUCAUGGUGGAGGAUUUGGUGUUUAUCAUCCCCAAAUGGGAGAGACGGGGAGGUUUUAUUCUACACAUUUUGUAGCUGUAUUUUCCAAUGUCAGUUUAUCUUGCAGUAAGAGGAAAAAAAGGCGUAGUAGUAACCCGAGUUACAAUCACAACGACAGAGGGAGAUUUCUUUCAAAACUGUGAUCGUACUUAUUGAUUAAGGUAUAUCAAAUUUGUUUUCUAAUUGUUGGAUUAAAUUGAAUGAAUUUUUUAUAUUAUGCAAAUUUCCCUUUGUUGAUUAGUUUACAGCACGCAAUAGUCAUGGCUGGGCACUUUUUUGGGAUUUACCUCCAUAUUUAAACUCCAGAGAAUUAAGUCUGAAAUUGCUAGGUGAAGAGACUUUGGUGCAACUGAUGGAGUUGGCUUUGAUAUGAAUGCUCAGUGAAGAGACUUUGGUGUUGCUAUUACAGAAUGAAAGUAGAUGUAUGUUUAGGACAUGAUUUGAGAAGCGGGUUAUGAGACUGAAAUUUGAUCUGUUUAUGGUGCAUUUUAGUAGUUGCAAGUAACAGUUUUGGUGAUGUGUUGGUGUUGCAGCUGUAUCAUUGAUUGUGAACAGGGAAGAAUUGAAGACUCGGGUCUGGUGUUAGGUCUGUGUUGUUGCAGUAACUGGAGUUGGUGCAAAUUGAGUUAAGAAGCUGGGAAUGGCUAGGAAGUUUUGCUGGGGUUUGUGAUUGAGUUUAAAUGGCAGGCAGAGAAGGCUGCUUGAGUUAAGAUAAUAGUUAGGAUCACAGAUAUAAAGUAGAAGUGGCAGGAACAAAUAGCUCAAGUUGAAAAUGCAUUAAAGGACUGAAAAAGGGAACGAUCUUGGAUUUAGAUGAAGAAGACAUAGAUCAAAAAAAUUAUCUAAGAGAUUGAAUAUUUUAUCUGGAUUGAAAUAUUAAAAAGAUCGCAACUGCCUUCCUGCAGUUUGUUUCAUUACUGCCACUGUGUGAAUUUUUUUUUUAUAAUGGGAGAAGUUGAAGUGAUUUUCUCUGAUACAACGUCUCAAAAGAUUUAUUUGGAUUAGCAAUUGGCCAUUGUAUAAGCCAAAGAGCUCCGACCUAUUAUAAUGUUUCUUCCCAUAAAUUGAGUCUUCUGAUACAUCUUAUCUCUUCUAAAAUCCCAUGAUUAUGUUCAAUCUCUAUAUAUUUUUAAUGGUUAUUUUCAUAUUCAUGGUAUUUAAUGUUAUAUCCUACGAACAGUAGCAUCAUGUUCUUGAAAAGAGGCGGUGCUGGACACGUCGCCUAUUUAGAGACAGGAUAGUGGUGCGUCUACUUCAAAAACCGAACGACUUUGACAGGCUGGUGCUGCUGCACAGGCAGAAGAAGAACGAGAACGGGUGCAAGUAAAAUUUGAAGAGGGAAGAAAGCUUCUUCAAAGCAACACUCUCAAGUCGGAUUUUGUGUAUGGCCAUUCUGAAAUGGAAUCUCCUAAGAUAAACGUUUGUAAGACAAUUGAUGAUGGUUAUAUAGGCAUCUCAGCAUACUGUUCUACUAAUUGUAAUGCGGAAAGGUUUAUAUUCCA